rnacentral:rRNA from 1 species
GACAGAGGGGGCAAGCGUUGCUCGGAAUCACUGGGCGUAAAGGGCGCGUAGGCGGGAUGGCAAGUCAGUCGUGAAAUCUCUCGGCUCAACCGAGAAACGUCGGCUGAUACUGCCGUUCUUGAGGGAUGCAGAGGAGACUGGAAUUCCUGGUGUAGCGGUGGAAUGCGCAGAUAUCAGGAGGAACACCGGUGGCGAAGGCGGGUCUCUGGGCAGUAACUGACGCUGAGGAGCGAAAGCGUGGGGAGCGAACAGG